GAGCAGGAUCCCCGGGGAAACUGGAUGAGGUCAGGCAGCGUUCAGUGCCGCUGCCACGCUAGACCUUGGAGAGGCUUCUCCUCCCAGCAGUUUCUGCUGCCCGAGUUUGGGAAGGCACAACAACACAGCUGCUAUCCAAAGAGGGCAGCCCACAAGCAGCGAUUUCCCUCAUUUCCCACCUGGUGCCUCUUCAGUUCUGGAAACAGUAAUAGCAAUACAGAAUGGAGGUAACAGAGCAGGGAGUAAAGCCCUACAAAGACUGAGCAGCACACGGGGCAGGCGAGCGAGCAGACACAUGCUGGGAAGGAUGUGCAGGAGCUCCGUGGCCACGCAGCCGAUGACACAUCGGAUUUUCCACAAUCCGACCCACGGAGCUCGCUGGAUGCAUCACCACCGGCUGGCACAGUGUCAGGCUGCAAGCGCAGAGCCUGCUCCCUCCUGCACCUCUGCCGGCAAGCCGCGGCUUGGAUCUCUGGGAAGAAAGGAGCAGGCUCUCGAAGAGACGGAUGUGCGGUCUCAACUCACCAAAACAGACUGUCAGAAAGACCGUGCCCCAAAAGUGCCGAGUCUUGCCCCUGGCAUGAGAGGAGAUCCCGUAAAUCUGGGCCAUCAACAAGAGCAGAGCACAUCACCCUUCCUGGCUGUCCCAGCACCGUCAGCCGGUGAAAGGGAAGGCAGAUGAAAAAGCACGGCUGUCUUCCACCUCCUUCUUGGAUCACUGCUCUGCAUAGGAUGGUCUUCCACAGAUGUGAGAGGGGUGGAAGGAGAUGAAGAGAAAAAGCCUCACUCCCAUCUCUCACUGGCUGCGCAGCACCCAGUCAGGCUCUGGCAUGCAUGUUUGUACAGGAAUUAGCAUGGGUUGUUUCUCAGGCUGUUUGGAGGCUGUAAAGUGCUUCAUUUCCAAUUAUUUCUGCCACGCUGAAACUGAAAAAGCCUGAUGUCCUGCAGAUUUGUAUUCUGUGACUGGUUAAAGCUUUUUUUAAUUCUCAAAUUAUUCAUAAAUUCUCUGCUGCAUAGACCUUCUGACAUCUAACAACAUAAUGCCACAACCAGGGCACUCAGAGACAAAGGCCCUUUCCUUUUUCCAAUCAUCUACGUUGGUGAAACUUCAAGAACAAUCAUCUUUGAGACCGCUCUCUCCCUGACAGAAUUGGCUAGAAUUGGCCAAAGGGUCAAAAACUCAGAGAGGCCAAGGUUUAGGCAGGCUGAGGCAGCAUGGUCCAGAAAACUAUCAGUCUGCCCAAUGUGAGAGAGCAAAAAAGUGUGUGGCAAGUCUCUGCAAGAAACAUUUCAUAAAAAAUGUAUCUCCCAUCUCUGCUUCUGCUCUUCAAAAUCAGUUACAAAGGCACUCACUAUUGUCCCUGAGGUUUCUCAUAAUCAGGUUUCUGUCUCUGGAAGGCAUCACUUUUCCACACAGCUCUGGAUGAAAUCCAAAGCACAAAUUAUGAGAUCCAUAUGAGGGAAGCAGAUGUUUCUAGGCAAUGUUUAUGGGGAACAGCAAAUCUUUGGGGAGACAUUGAAUUACAUUUUCUUUUAAGUAAAUACUCAAACUGUGCAAUAAAUAUCAAAAAUAUAAAACAUAAGGGUAGGGAGAUAGAGACAAAGGUGUAUGUAUCUUUGUUAAAAAAAGGUUAAAAGGCUUACAUAUAAUCAUUUGCAUUUUAGUGAUUCAACACAUUGGGCAAAUGGUGUGGAGCGCAGGAAGUCCCUCUGACAACCAAGGUUGCAAUGAGAAAUGUAGUAUCUUCUGCUGGGCUGGAGCUACACAUGGCUGCCCCUGGUCCCCAGAUGGAGCUGCUUGCUGCGCACCUCACCGUCCCACACCCAAACCCACUGACCUUCCACCAGUGAUUCUAAGACCAAAAAAAAAAAAAAAAAAAAAAGGAAAAAAGAAAAGAAAAAGACUCUUGUGAAGGGAGCAGCUUGUUCCUGUUUCACAGAGAGUAUGCUCUCUUGGUUUGGUCUGAUGCAAACAUAGCUAGAGCAGUCAUGAACUACUUGUCAGACAACCUUUGAAAAAGUGUCAGGUAGAGUAGCUCCUGAACGCUAUCAAGAUGACCUUUUUGUUGAAAUAUAAUGUCUGAUGCUAGGAACUGGGCCAAGUGAGGGAACUGGAGCUCCGCUUACUGUUGGCUUUGUUGUGCCUGUUAUUCUUCUCAUUGUUUAAAAUCAGACUGUACAUCAGCACCUUUUGCCAGGGGAAGAGCUUAACCACAUGGGAGCAACAUUCAGCUCCUGAAGCACAGUCAGCAUUUGCCAAUGGAGGAGCAGAUGGCUGGUACUCAUUUGCACAGUAGCUGUGCAAGCUCAUUUGAGAGAUCAUUUUGGUUUAAGAAGACAUUGCUGCUUUGGAGAGCUUGUAUACCUGUACUUUGGGUUAUGUAUUCAUCACUCAAAAAGACCGUGUGAAGAACUGGCAGAACUUAACAGAAGCACGACAAGG